GGAGGGAUUAGCUCAGAGUAACUUUAGGGUUGGAAAAUUGACCUAUUCUUUAUUGUUGGGAGGGUAUUUACAGGAAAGGUCCUCUUGUCCACUAGCGUUACAUGACUAGUUGACACAAGGAAAUUUGCCAUCAUGUAGAGCGUGAAGGACGUGCAAUGUGUGGCCCAUUUUGUUAUGUAUUCAAUUACUAUGAAGUUGCUAUGCCCAAUUGGACCCAUUAUUGCAUUCAAUAUGUGUUAACGCCCAAAACGGGUGCCUUAAGAGCAGGAGCUCAUCUUAUUAUCAAGGACCUAGAGGGCUUGCGUAUCGAACGACUGUCCUUGAUAAUGGAAGGAAGUCAUUCCUCUGGUCAGGGACAGGUGGUCAACCGAGACAUUGUCUUAGGUGGAAUCAAAGGGAGGUCAACACUUUCUAUCUUGAUGACACAUAUCCAAGUGGCGGAGGAAUAUAACAAGUAGGUGUUUUGAUGCCCCUUCUUUUUUAUUGACCAUCCCCGAUGGCUACUCGACCGAUUGAUGGUCAAUAACCUUUUUACCACUUCUUCCUUCUCCUUCACCCCGGUCAUUUUUCAGUUUAAAGGAGUCUUUUUUAGAAUAAUAAAUCCUCUCGAGUUAGUAGUGGCCUGAGUUUCUCGAAUUCAUGGUGACUCAUUCUUGUUUAUGUUUAACUUGUGAUUUUUAUAUUUUUACAUGAUUUGCAAGGUGCACUAGAAAUGACAUGGUUGUUGUAUUCAUAUCUCACAUACCAACACAUGAAGGUCUAGUGGAUUAUGCCUAAUGACGAGACUUGUGUUUGAAAUGUUCGAGUUUCUUUAGUUGUUUCCUUCAAAGUGAUGGGUUUAAGUUAGA
rnacentral:lncRNA from 1 species